rnacentral:rRNA from 1 species
CUAGUGAAGCGGCAGAGCUCAAAUUUGAAAGCUGGCUCCUUCGGGGUCCGCAUUGUAAUUUGCAGAGGAUGCUUCGGGUGCGGCCCCUGUCUAAGUGCCCUGGAACGGGCCGUCAGAGAGGGUGAGAAUCCCGUCUGGGAUGGGGUGUCCGCGCCCGUGUGAAGCUCCUUCGACGAGUCGAGUUGUUUGGGAAUGCAGCUCUAAAUGGGUGGUAAAUUUCAUCUAAAGCUAAAUACUGGCCGGAGACCGAUAGCGCACAAGUAGAGUGAUCGAAAGAUGAAAAGCACUUUGAAAAGAGAGUUAAAAAGCACGUGAAAUUGUUGAAAGGGAAGCGCUUGCGACCAGACUCGCCUCCGGGGUUCAGCCGGCAUUCGUGCCGGUGUACUUCCCUGGGGGCGGGCCAGCGUCGGUUUGGGCGGCCGGUCAAAGGCUCCCGGAAUGUAGUGCCCUCCGGGGCACCUUAUAGCCGGGAGUGCAAUGCGGCCAGCCUGGACCGAGGAACGCGCUUCGGCACGGACGCUGGCAUAAUGGUCGUAAACGACACGUCUAAACACACACAGGGACAUCACAU